rnacentral:lncRNA from 1 species
AUCUUCUUCCUUCUCUUCCUUUCGGCCCCCGGUGCCUCCUCGAGAUGAGACUUUAGAGCGAGAACCUCGAUCGGAGGGCUUCUUGAAGAAGCUCGGAGGACUGCGGGCUCGACGUCAGAGGGGGCAUCAACGAUAAUGGCUGCCUGGGCAAGCACGGUCGAGCUUGUCUCCUCUACCCUCGCCUUCUUCGCCGACCCAGAAGUUAUAGCACUUUUCCUCUUGUGAGCCUUGAGACCCUUGGCUAGUACCUGAGCUGCGUCUGCAUCCAUGUCUGCAAUGAAAAAAGAUCGGCACAGCUUAGAAACAGAAU